CCUACGGGAGGCAGCAGUGAGGAAUAUUGGUCAAUGGACGAGAGUCUGAACCAGCCAAGUAGCGUGAAGGAUGACUGCCCUAUGGGUUGUAAACUUCUUUUAUAUGGGAAUAAAACAGGGUAUGCAUACCCUCUUGUAUGUACCAUAUGAAUAAGGAUCGACUAACUCCGUGACAGCAGCCGCGGUAAUCCGGAGGAUCCGAGCGUUAUCCGGAUUGAUUGGGUUUAAGGGGAGCGUAGGUGGAUUGUUAAGUAAGUUGUGAAAGUUUGCGGCUCAACCGUAAAAUUGCAGUUGAAACUGGCAGUCUUGAGUACAGUAGAGGUGGGCGGAAUUCGUGGUGUAGCGGUGAAAUGCUUAGAUAUCACGAAGAACUCCGAUUGCGAAGGCAGCUCACUGGACUGCAACUGACACUGAUGCUCGAAAGUGUGGGUAUCAAACAGGAUUAGAGACCCUUGUAGUC
rnacentral:rRNA from 1 species